AUUGAACGCUGGCGGCAGGCCUAACACAUGCAAGUCGAGCGAGCGGCGGACGGGUGAGUAAUGCCUGGGAAUUGCCCAGUCGAGGGGGAUAACAGUUGGAAACGACUGCUAAUACCGCAUACGAUUGGAUUGCCCAGGUGGGAUUCGCUAGUUGGUGAGGUAAUGGCUCACAAAGGCGACGAUCCCUAGCUGGUCUGAGAGGAUGAUCACCCCCCCUGGAACUGGGACACGGUCCAGGCUCCUCCCUAAACCACCAAUAUAUAAUAUUCCACAAUGUAGGAAACCCUGAUUGAGCCAUGCCGCGUGUGUGAAGAAACCGUUCGGGUUUUAACGCACUUUCAGCGAGGAGGCGUUGCUCGCAGAAGAAGCACCGGCUAACUCCGUGCCAGCAGCCGCGGUAAUAC
rnacentral:rRNA from 1 species